CCUACGGGAGGCAGCAGUGGGGGAUAUUGCACAAUGGGGGGAACCCUGAUGCAGCGACGCCGCGUGAGUGAAGAAGCGCCUCGGCGCGUAAAGCCCUGUCAGCAGGGAAGAGAAUGACGGUACCUGACGAAGAAGCCCCGGCUAACUACGUGCCAGCAGCCGCGGUAAUACGUAGGGGGCAAGCGUUAUCCGGAUUUACUGGGUGUAAAGGGAGCGCAGACGGCGGUGCAAGCCAGGAGUGAAAGCCCGGGGCUCAACCCCGGGACGGCUAUUGGAACUGGGUGGCUGGAGUGCAGGAGGGGCAGGCAGAAUUCCUGGUGUAGCGGUGAAAUGCGUAGAUAUCAGGAGGAACACCGGUGGCGAAGGCGGCUUGCUGGACUGUAACUGACGUUGAGGCUCGAAAGCGUGGGGAGCAAACAGGAUUAGAUACCCGGGUAGUC
rnacentral:rRNA from 1 species